UUGUCCGCGCAGUCUCACGUUCUCACGUUCGUGGUUUUGGCGCAGGCGGCGUUUCUACGUGAGGCUGUGAUCUUCACUGACCGUGGGUCUCUUCCAGGACACCCCCCGGACCUUGUAGGAGUUCGGGCCCAGCUCGUUGAAGCCCAGGGAGGAGGGCAGCGCCGGGAACGCGUCGUCCUGGAACAGGCGGCCGGACUCUAAGCAGCGGCGCCGCAGAGCCUCGUAGUCCUGGUCCAGGUACCGAACCGCCUGGCUGUUGGUUCCGAUUCCCCGGUUCUUCUCCCGGCGGUGCUGCAGCGUGGCCGCGAUGCCCGACAUGUUGCUGGGCCUGGAGUCUGCAGCGGAGAGCCUGGAGGGUGCGGAGGCUCCUGGAAAGUUUGGGGAGUGUUGAGGAUGCAGCGAUGGAAGGAAGGGAGUGUCCACUCCGCCGGGAUCACAGAGAGCAACCCGUCAGAUUCAGCUUCCUAGCGUGAAACUCCAGCAGACCCAGUUUGCUGCUGCCGUCCAUCUGACCUGCAGUCAAAGAUCCUGCCUGUCUGUGUUACUGAUCAGUGAUCAGCUCUGCAACUAAUUAUACUGUCACGAAACAUCUGGAACACUUUACAUCUGCAGCUUCCUGUAAAGCACGGAGCAGCAGCAGCUGGAGGCAGUAGGUGUUUGUGAUUCAAAGAUUGAUCAGUAAUAACAACGACUGAUCUGAUUGGACAGGGCUGAAGGAUACGUCCAGCAGGCUGAUGAUGUGGCGGCAGGUCUGCAGACUGAAGCCGUCUGUUUUCACGUCAGAUCCUUCAAACACACAAACACAGAGGCGUUCAGCUUCAGGCGGCUCAGACAGACUUUCAUCCCUCUUUUACAUUCAGGUCUACAUGAACACAAGAGGGUCCUGGUCUACGAGCAGCCAGAUCACUGCUUCAGGACCUUUCAACAAAACGUUGGAAGAUGAUUCAUCAAACACAGAUACUCGCACACUGCAGUACAGUCCUGUGUCGCCCCGUUCUUACUCUGAGAAAUCACUUUGUCCAAAAUCUGCUGGAGCUCAAAGGCGGAAAUUUCAGAGUCCUGUUGAGACAGAAAGAAAACGUGAGACGCUUUGUUCCCCAUCAAGUGGACGGGACAGGAAGGUUUGGUAAAACGUUGAGUUACAUUUCCAGCGAUCUGGACGAAGAGAUGUUUGAAGUGAGGAUCCACGUCGCUCUGCCCCACCUCCGGCUGGAAGGGAAACACAUCAAGUCAGCAAGAGACUCGCAGCACGAGAUGAGAAAUCAACAGAUGCACAUGGUGACAGGGUGAGCGUUUUCAUCUCACUGACCUCCUGGAUGUCGGCGUUGACGUCCUCCUCCAUCGGACUGAAACAGAGAGGAGACAGUUUCAGACACCUCUCCUUCUUCUUCUUCACACAGUCACAGGUGUUCGGACCUCGUAGAUGGAGAAUCCGAUGGUGUUGAGGUCUCGUCCGAAGCGUCUCUCCCUUCGAGCGUCCCUCUGCAUCAGACCGAUCAGCACAGUGCAGCCGUCCUCGCCGUCGUGGGGGUCGUCGUCCACGUCCUCCAGACGGAUGAAGAAUUGAGGGUUGGAGCAGAAUGUGGCUGCAGAGAGAAACGUAGGAGGAGAAUAACACACACAGGA